rnacentral:rRNA from 1 species
UACGUAGGAUGCAAGCGUUAUUCGGAAUUAUUGGGCGUAAAGGGCGCGUAGGCGGCCUGGCAAGUGGAAGGUGAAAUCCCUCGGCUUAACCGAGGAACUGCCUUCCAAACUGCUUGGCUUGAGUCCGGGAGAGGUGAGUGGAAUUCCCAGUGUAGCGGUGAAAUGCGUAGAUAUUGGGAGGAACACCAGUGGCGAAGGCGGCUCACUGGACCGGAACUGACGCUGAUGCGCGAAAGCGUGGGGAGCAAACGGG